GUGACAUAUUCAAAUGUGUUUCAGACCAGUGGGCGUGUGGGGGAAAAUUGUCGGUUCACUUUGUGCGAUUGCCGGUGUGCUCACAAUCGCACUGCCCGUGCCCGUCAUCGUGUCCAAC